rnacentral:rRNA from 1 species
CGCAAUGGGCGAAAGCCUGACAGAGCAAUACCGCGUGAGGGAUGAAGACUUACUGAGUUGUAAACCUCGGUGCCUUAAGGAAGAAGAUCUGACGGUACUUAAGGUGGAAAGCAUCGGCUAACUCCGUGCCAGCAGCCGCGGUAAGACGGGGGAUGCAAGUGUUAUCCGGAUUUACUGGGCGUAAAGCGUCUGCAGGUGGUUUCUUAAGUCUACUGUUAAAUCUUGAGGCUCAACCUCAAAUCUGCAGUAGAAACUAGGAGACUUGAGUAUAGUAGGGGUAGAGGGAAUUUCCAGUGGAGCGGUGAAAUGCGUAGAUAUUGAAAAGAACACCGAUGGCGAAGGCACUCUACUGGGCUAUUCCUUCCUUUCACAGACGAAAGCUA